rnacentral:pre_miRNA from 1 species
UGUCCUUCGCGAAUCUUUUUGCGGUCUGGGCUUGCUGUUAAUAACUAUGAAGCUGGGAAGCCCUUACCCCAAAAAGCAUUCGCGGAGGGCG